AGUGAACGCUGGCGGUAGGCCUAACACAUGCAAGUCGAACGGCAGCACAGUAAGAGCUUGCUCUUACGGGUGGCGAGUGGCGGACGGGUGAGGAAUACAUCGGAAUCUACUUUUUCGUGGGGGAUAACGUAGGGAAACUUACGCUAAUACCGCAUACGACCUACGGGUGAAAGCAGGGGAUCUUCGGACCUUGCGCGAUUGAAUGAGCCGAUGUCGGAUUAGCUAGUUGGCGGGGUAAAGGCCCACCAAGGCGACGAUCCGUAGCUGGUCUGAGAGGAUGAUCAGCCACACUGGCACUGAGACACGGUCCAGACUCCUACGGGAGGCAGCAGUGGGGAAUAUUGGACAAUGGGCGCAAGCCUGAUCCAGCCAUACCGCGUGGGUGAAGAAGGCCUUCGGGUUGUAAAGCCCUUUUGUUGGGAAAGAAAAGCAGCAGGUUAAUACCCCGCUGUUCUGACGGUACCCAAAGAAUAAGCACCGGCUAACUUUGUG
rnacentral:rRNA from 1 species